GACGAACGCUGGCGGCGUGCCUAAUACAUGCAAGUUGAGCGCUGAAGGUUGGUACUUGUACCAACUGGAUGAGCAGCGAACGGGUGAGUAACGCGUGGGGAAUCUGCCUUUGAGCGGGGGACAACAUUUGGAAACGAAUGCUAAUACCGCAUAAAAACUUUAAACACAAGUUUUAAGUUUGAAAGAUGCAAUUGCAUCACUCAAAGAUGAUCCCGCGUUGUAUUAGCUAGUUGGUGAGGUAAAGGCUCACCAAGGCGAUGAUACAUAGCCGACCUGAGAGGGUGAUCGGCCACAUUGGGACUGAGACACGGCCCAAACUCCUACGGGAGGCAGCAGUAGGGAAUCUUCGGCAAUGGACGAAAGUCUGGCCGAGCAACGCCGCGGGAGUGAAGAAGGUUUUCGGAUCGUAAAACUCUGUUGGUAGAGAAGAACGUUGGUGAGAGUGGAAAGCUCAUCAAGUGACGGUAACUACCCAGAAAGGGACGGCUAACUACGUG
rnacentral:rRNA from 1 species